GAGCGUGCUUCCAAGUCUAACCGUGAGGAAGUGACGGCCCUGAAGUCGUUGUUGGCCGAGGCUGAACGCCGCGAGAUGGCCAGGGAGCUGGAGAAACGGGACGUGGACGACGCCAUGGCGGACAUGAUGGAGGAAACGGAAUGAAGAAAAUGACAGCCGCACCGACCACGAGAACAUCACGUGACUGUCACAUAGACAUUGAUGACUGUUAAGCAUGCGCAGACAUCUAUAAGUGUAAAAGUUCCGAACUGUGGCUUUUUGGAAAUAAACUAGUUGUUUGUCCCACUGUUGUAAUUUGGCACUAAGAGCAAGAGGAUGUUUGAUGCCGGGAGAAAUAAAAGGAAAUAUGAGGAA